CCUACGGGUGGCAGCAGUGGGGAAUAUUGCUCAAUGGGCGGAACCCUGAUGCAGCGACGCCGCGUGAGUGAAGAAGUAUUUCGGUAUGUAAAGCUCUAUCAGCAGGGAAGCAAAUGACGGUACUUGACUCAGAAGCCCCGUCUAACUACGUGCCAGCAGCCGCGGUAAUACGUAGGGGGCAAGCGUUAUCCGGAUUUACUGGGUGUUAUGGGGGCGUAGACGGCUGUGCAAGUCUGGAGGGAAAGGCGGGGGCCCAAACCCCGGACUGCUCUGGAAACUGUAAAGCUGGAGUGCAGGAGAGGUAAGCGGAAUUCGUAGUGUAGCGGUGAAAUGCGUAGAUAUUAGGAAGAACACCGGUGGCGAAGGCGGCGUACUGGACUGCAACUGACGUUGAGGCUCGAAAGCGUGGGGAGCGAACAGGAUUAGAUACCCUUGUAGUC
rnacentral:rRNA from 1 species